rnacentral:rRNA from 1 species
CGGCGUGCCUAACACAUGCAAGUCGAGCGGGGACAUUGCGACGGAGACGAAGUACUCGUACGGAGUCAAAGAUGUAAUGUCUAGCGGCGGACGGGUGAGUAACGCGUGAGCAACCUGUCCCUUACAGGGGAUAACACAGCGAAAGUUGUACUAAUACCGCAUAAGACCACAGGAUGACAUCGUCCAGGGGUCAAAGGAGCAAUCCGGUAAGGGGUGGGCUCGCGUCCGAUUAGAUAGUUGGUGAGGUAACGGCCCACCAAGUCGACGAUCGGUAGCCGACCUGAGAGGGUGAUCGGCCACAUUGGGACUGAGACACGGCCCAAACUCCUACGGGAGGCAGCAGUGGGGAAUAUUGGGCAAUGGGGGGAAACCCUGACCCAGCAACGCCGCGUGAGGGAAGAAGGUUUUCGGAUCGUAAACCUCUGUCCCAGGUGAAGAGGAAGAGACGGUAGCCUGGGAGGAAGCCCCGGCUAACUACGUGCCAGCAGCCGC